rnacentral:tRNA from 1 species
AAGAAGUUAAUGAACAGAAACAGCUGCUAACUGAUUCCUGAAGCGGUUAAAUUCCGUUUGCUUCUUU